rnacentral:lncRNA from 1 species
AGGGGGAAACAUUGAUAGGUGCAGAGCUCUGCAUGUACACGCGAACAGCAGCUACAGCCAGUUUCCAUGCUUUAAUUCGCAGCUAAGUUUAACAUUCACAAAACACUAAAACGCACAUGCAUUAUAUUUAUUGAUUCUUUAAUAAUCAACUCAAUAUUUUGGAUAGCAAAUGGUCAUUACACUUACAAGAACUACACAAAUAUAUUACUCACUGAUCUAAGAACUGGAUAAAGCAUCCGCAUGCAAUGCAUAAAUGAAGCGAAUAGCGGCCGUAUAGUUGUAUGACCACCAUUAAUCUACAGUGGUCUUGCUGAUGCGUUAGAAGAGAUUCCAACAGUUACUGCAUGUUUAUUGCGGGGGUGGAAAAAGUAUCGGACCAUGGGACCACAAUUGAGUUCCCAGAAAGUAUUUCCCCAAGAAAGAAAAAAAAGAUAAUGGUAACAAUUUAAUAGAUAAAAAGGAGAAAUUCAGAGGAAAAAUUCUAACUAAUAAAACGAAUGCUACCUGUACUGUGGGUAUGACCUCAGAAAUUCAAUAAUUAUUAUAAGUGCAUCCAUCUUAAUACUGCAAUAGUGUGUAAAUGUAUAGACUAUAGAAUAGUGUAACAAAUGUUGUAUGGCAAAUGCAUUUUUAGCUAAUCUGGAACGCCUAAUUUUCAAAAUUUUCUGGGGGAGCAUGCAUUCCCCUGGUAGUGCCCCCUAUAGUAGUGCCUUCUUUAGCAUUAUUAAGAUUCUCAUGCAUGAGAGUGCAAUGAAUUUUUUUUCUGUUAAUUUAAAUAUAGCAUGACAUUCAGUUUGACAACAUCAUCACACAGUUACAAUGUCCGAGUGUCAAUUUACUUGGGUUUUUUUUUUCUCUUGCGGUCCCAGGAAGUAAAAUAUUUUUCCACCCCUGGUUUAUUGGUAGGACAGACACGUAUUGUCUACAUAAAAAUAUUGGUAAGCAGUGGCUUCUCUUUCUUAAUGAAAUAAUAUUUGAGCUCAUACCAAUAAGGCUGCGUCAAGCCUCAGUUAAAAAGGAAAAGACAUUGAGUACUCGCUCCAUAAUAAUUGAAACACCUAACGAAUUGGUAUGUAAACAAUAUAGGCAUGCUAUGGCGUCCAUGCGUGUACUGGUAUUUCCAACAAAUCUCAAGGAUCCAGAAGUACUCAAACUUGUUUAUAUGCAUGGGGGAGCUUACCCGGGAUUCAAUGAAGUGUGAAGUAUUUUGAGCAAUUGAAAUAAGUCGCACUUCAUGCAUGAUCUAACAAAAUUACUUGUUACAAAUUGUAUGAAAUUCCAUGUUUUAGACAAAAAACAAAUGUUAUUGAAUGCUAUUAAUCGUCUUAUUCCACUACAUAACUUCUAGCACGUUCCUAAUUUCGUUUAAACAAUAUUUAAAGUUAUCUAUAACUUUUGUUUAGGGCUGAAAAAGUAUUUUAAUUGCUCAAAAUACUUCACACUUCAUUGAAUCCCGGGUAAGCGGGACCAUAUAAACAGCCCCUAAGUUUGAACCUGGAGACGAAGCUAAUAUACAUUUAAGUCAAAAUCAUACUUAUCAUCAUGUGACAAUGGUCUGAUUUUACCAAAUAAGGUAAUGAAAACACGAAAAAUCUGCAAGCGGAUUACACGUAAAACGCUUUAUUGCAUGGUUUCUUUCUGGGGAAGAAGAAAAAUGCGACUUUUUGAGUAGAAAACACUAAGUCACAUACAAAGUACCAGUACACGCAACAAUUAAUGCAGUUAAAAAUCUCUUCUAAUUGUAUAUAUUCUGGAUUCACUAAUUGGCUCAUUGAAUUCAAAAGAAUGUGCUAUCGAGUCCUAAUUUUCAAAUUAGUGAUAUUACAGUUGUUAUAACCAACAAAGAUCGAUGCUUCGUGAUAGUUCGGCGGCUAGAAUAGUGAACUAUAAUCCGUAUAUAUACCAGUAUAAAAUUUUGGCUAAAGCCUGGUUUAAACUAUCGAAGUUUCUCUGUGUAUGGUAAUGUUAGCAAAUAUCUUUCAAUUUCAUGCAAAUUUGGGUAACAAAUCUUCUUCGAUAUUAGACAGAUUUAGAUCGAGGACGCGGACGUCAAAGAUGACGUGAAAAUGGCGUGGCAUAUCCAUACAUGGGCACAAUUCACACGCAAUUGUCACGUCGUCAUUGACGUCCGCGCCCUCGAUCUAAAACUGUCUAUUGAGUUUAGGAAUACAACGGUAAUGUGCCAUGCACGUGAUCAUUCGUGUCCGCAAGAAUAUUAAGGAAAGAACUUCUAGUAUGGCAAUAUGGCAUGACGAGGCGAGUGGCUCUCGUGCGCUUGUUGUAUAGCGCGUUGCAUUCCGUCAUUAAAAACUGCACUUUUUGAAAAAAGAAACAAUGCACUAUUUCCCUCAUUAUACCAAAACUAAAAAUAUUUGUAAUGCCAAAAAAAAUUAUCAAAGAAAACGACAUUACAGAAUUUUUUACAUUCUGCAUGCUUACAGUUAGUCUCUAUUUUAAGUAAAUUAGUGCACGAAUUAUUACACGAAGAAAUACAAGCUCUUUUAUAGAGUGAAUUUCGUACGCGCGUGUUGUCAUAGCAAAUAACUAUAUGUUUUACCAAAAUUAACAUAAUUUGAAAGAAGAAACCGGCAUUAAAAUACAUAAACAUCGUGAUACUUGCUGCAUAGAACCGGUUUAAAAAGGUUUAAACAACAACGGAAUCUUCCAAGUAAAAAUUACUAAAAGCUACGAACAGAUUUUAAAUAACCGUAUGAUACAAUAAAGAUUAUUAUAAAUGUAACAUCUUAAGGCUGAGCAUCAUUGUACGAAUCAAAUUCUAAAAUCAUUGCACGCCACCAGCAUACCAUUGUAUCACCAUAUACCAUUCUAUAUACAAUUGUAUACAAGUCGGCGUAUGUAUGUUCAGACGUCUAUUGGGCUGUGAUUCUCUCUGGGAUUGUAAGGCUUCUGCGGUUUCAAUGGCACUAAACUUGGCACUAAAAAUAAACAAACGAAAAUAUUGAAAGCCAUAACUGAAACGACUGCGCCUAAUUUAAGCACUUCACUAGAGCUAUCGUAGAAUUCAGGAGAUAACGCUUCAAUUUUCCCGAAACGAACGGCCAUCCGACGGAUAAUGUCGAUUUUGUGCCCAUUGUAAAACUGGUGUGCUUAAUUUAAAGUGAUUCCAUCGCAAUGAGGACCACACGUACUAAAAAACGGACUACAUGACCGUUGGGUCCAAGCGAUUUUCUAGGUUGACAGAAAAGAAAUGUAAAAAAUGAACCUUAAAUGAAUUGUGGAAAAGAAGAGAUCAGAUUAGAAUAGAAUCAAUUGUUUAUUACUACAACAGUUCAUAAAGUGUACUUCACAUUUGCCUUUCAUGAAGUCGUUCUAAUGUACAGUUUGUAAAAAAACAGCCCUUUGCAAUGAAGAGCUAGUAAAGUAUAAAGCAAAAUUUUGGAAUUGUAUAAAUUAGACUUCUAUAUAUCAGGCUUCAGAAAGCAGGCCACUGUCAGGCACAUCAUUUUCAGUGCCGAAUUUUACAUGCUCACCUAUCCAAGAUUUAAAAUUUGGGAAAAUUUCUAAAUUUCAGAGCGGUUACCUUCCAAUUAACACAACAUAGCUAAAUGCACG